rnacentral:lncRNA from 1 species
UUUCUGCAAGCUGGAACUUGCUGCCCUAGUCCCCGAGGGCUCGCAGCCGGAACUCGAACACGCUGCAACCAACUCUGGCAAGCCAGCUUGCUGUAUCAGACCUGGCUCCCAGCCUGGGCCAGGUGACCACCCCUGAGCGGCCGGGCAAACCGAGGGGAAACUCGCGCAUGCCUUGAUGCUAUUGGGUCGCCAAGGGUUCAUUUCAGGUCACUUGGUCAUUCUUCUGCCUCCAGCAGGUCUGGUUGCUAGGACUGGAGACAUGAGAAGCAGGUAGACUGGCUCCUUUGAUCCCACUCAGUACUCCUAAUCUCCAGUGGUCAGAGCACACAGGUGGGUAUUUUUCAUGCAACCACACUCUCACCCCAUCCUGUGCUCAGGCUGAGACUUGUGUUGCUCAGGUCUCAGGCUGGCAGUGGGGACAGGCUUCUGCCAACUCUUGGUGAACUGAUACAGGGGCAGACAGGGUUCUCAAUGCCAGGGUCAGGUGAGCAUAGCCAGAGAUGUGGCAGAAACAAGGAGGUGGUGGGAGGGUUGUUGUAUCCAAGUCAGCUCACAGUUGCUUGUAACCAGCUAGAGGGGAUCCUAUGUCAUUUUCUGUCCUCCUUGGCCAGGGAUAGGUGUAGCUCAGUAAUAAAGCAUUUGUCUAACAUGUGAGGCUCUGGUUUCCAUCCCUACUUGUAUUCCUGUACUCCAGAGGUUGGCAGAAGGAUCAUAAGUUCAAGACCAGCCUGAGCUACAAAGUGAAACCUUGUCUAAAAGGAGAACCAACUCCUGCAAGUUCUUCUUUGGCCUCCAUGUGUGUGCACUCAGGCACACAUGAAAAUAAAUAUAAGAAAUAAAAAAUUAAAAUGAUAAAA